rnacentral:snRNA from 1 species
AUGCUAACCUGGCAGAGAAGCCUUGCUGACCUUGGCAGUUUCCACACAUGCAAGAAGCUCGACUCUGUAAUUUGUGGUGGUGGAGGACUGCGUUUGUGCUCUCCCCUA